rnacentral:lncRNA from 10 species
GCGUAAAAUCCCAGGCCUAUUCAGUCAUCUCUUCUUAUCUCUUUCUCAACCAUCCCCCCAACACCCAUCCCUCUCUCUCAAGUUUCUAAGGCUGCCGUUGCUAGGGAACUCAAACCUGAGGGCUGAAGGGAGGUUUUCUAAGGUGUCUGCCAAACUCCCAAAACUCAGAGGGCGGAGGCAGCACAAAGUCUUUGGGAUUCCCCAAACGCUGAAGAGAGUUACAUGUAACUCACCACCCUCUACCCCAUAUCCUUGUGUUCAGCAUCAUGUUUGGAUUCCGGGAAAUUCAGUGGUGAAGUGGGAAAAGAGAUUUCAAAUCACACUAAGAAGCAAUUUCUCCUAAUGUAAAAGCUGGAAGGGGUCUCCUCUCAAAGGAAAAACAUCCCAAGGUGCAGUUCCAGGCAAGAUGGGCCAUGUCUGCAAAUGACCACAUUGUAGAAACAUAGAUUUAGCAGCUUCUGCCCUGGGUGCAAGGCAUGGAGGUACAAUAGAAAGAAGCAGAAGACUUUGUUGCAUGUUCUUCUGAUUGUGGUCCGUGGAUCAGCAGCAACAGCAUCAUCUGGGAGUUGGUUGAAACACAGAAUCUCUAGCCCUACCCAGGCCUAUUGCAGCAGAAUCUGCCUUGUAAAAAGACCCCCAAGUGAUUUUUACAUUAUUACCAGAAAUAGACUGCUCUACUCUACAACACCCCCUCUAUCAGAGAUAAUGUUCAAAAGUGGUUUGAUUAUUUUGAAAUGGCAUUUUCCUUUCUGGGGAAAAAACUAUAGAAAUCAUUGGCUACAUCGGUCAAAAAUGGCACUAGUACUCCAGUGACAGAGAACAAUGAAAUGUAGCAUGCUAUCAUUAGUGUAAGAAAAUGCCAACAGACACCUGUGAUCAAUGAGGCUUGCAUUUGUGGUAAUUUUGGGACUCCUCCAUCCACAUUCUCUUGACCCAGGCUUCCUAUGACCAAAUGUUCACUUUUGCAAGAUGGCUGAGGUUAAGAGUGCAAUCUGGCCACAGAAAGGAGAAAAGCUUGCUGACCCAUGCUGACCUCUGACCUUGACCUCAUUAGCUAACCAAAUGAGCUAACCAGCCAUGGACAUCAGAGAGCAUUAUGUGUUGAUUGAGCCGAAGCAUAAGAAGGACCAGUAAAAGAUCAGUCAUAAAGACAUUUCUACCUUGAUCACCUAUACUUAUUAAAAUGAUAUGAGGAGCACAUAUGCGAUUUCUUUUCUAUCUUCCUGCAUUUUUCACCAUUGUACAGCAGGACUUGAAGACAACAAAAGGUUCUUUUCUUUCAUAGCUCUCUACUCUUUUCCUUCAAAGUAAUUAAAUUGUAAUUAUAAAUUUAU